rnacentral:rRNA from 1 species
GUUGAACGCUGGCGGCAGGCCUAACACAUGCAAGUCGAGCGGAUGAAGGGAGCUUGCUCGUGGAUUCAGCGGCGGACGGGUGAGUAAUGCCUAGGAAUAUGCCUGGUAGUGGGGGAUAACGUCCGGAAACGGGCGCUCAUACCGCAUACGUCCUGAGGGCGUACGUGGGGGAUCUUCGGACCUCACGCUAUCAGAUGAGCGUAGGUCGGAUUAGCUAGUUGGUGGGGUAAAGGCCUACCAAGGCGACGAUCCGUAGCUGGUCUGAGAGGAUGAUCAGUCACACUGGAACUGAGACACGGUCCAGACUCCUACGGGAGGCAGCAGUGGGGAAUAUUGGACAAUGGGCGAAAGCCUGAUCCAGCCAUGCCGCGUGUGUGAAGAAGGUCUUCGGAUUGUAAAGCACUUUAAGUGGGGAGGAAGGGCAGUAAGUUAAUACCUUGCUGUUUUGACGUUACCAACAGAAUAAGCACCGGCUAACUUCGUG